UCCUUCUGCCCGAGAGAAAUUCUACAGCCC
rnacentral:piRNA from 1 species